rnacentral:rRNA from 1 species
CUGGAACGGUGGCUAAUACCGGAUGUGCCGGAAGGUAAAAGGCUUGCUGCCUAGAGAUGAGCUCGCGUCUGAUUAGCUAGUUGGUGUGGUAAGAGCGCACCAAGGCGACGAUCAGUAGCUGGUCUGAGAGGAUGAUCAGCCACACUGGGACUGAGACACGGCCCAGACUCCUACGGGAGGCAGCAGUGGGGAAUUUUCCGCAAUGGGCGAAAGCCUGACGGAGCAAUACCGCGUGAGGGAGGAAGGCUCUUGGGUUGUAAACCUCUUUUCUCAAGGAAUAAGAUCUGAAGGUACUUGAGGAAUAAGCAUCGGCUAACUCCGUGCCAGCAGCCGCGGUAAUACGGAGGAUGCAAGCGUUAUCCGGAAUGAUUGGGCGUAAAGGGUCCGCAGGUGGCAUUGAAAGUCUGCUGUUAAAGAGUGAGGCUCAACCUCAUAAAAGCAGUGGAAACUACAAAGCUAGAGUGCGUUCGGGGUAGCAGGAAUUCCUGGUGUAGCGGUGAAAUGCGUAGAGAUCAGGAAGAACACCGGUGGCGAAAGCGUGCUACUAGGCCGUAACUGACACUGAGGGACGAAAGCUAGGGGAGCGAAAGGGAUUAGAUACCCCCUGUAGUCA